CCUUUGUACACACCGCCCGUCGCUACUACCGAUUGAAUGGCUCAGUGAGGCCUUCGGACUGCCUCGAGGAGGUUGGCAACGACCACCCCGAGGCGGAAAGUUCGUCAAACUCGGUCAUUUAGAGG
rnacentral:rRNA from 1 species